rnacentral:rRNA from 1 species
GUUAGGAAUAUUCGGCAAUGGGGGAAACCCUGACCGAGCAAUGCCGCGUGUGAGAUGAAGGCCCUAUGGGUUGUAAAUCACUUUUAUUUGGGAAGAACUGUAAGUAUAGGAAAUGAUGCUUACUUGACGGUACCUUUUGAAUAAGCCCCGGCUAACUACGUGCCAGCAGCCGCGGUAAUACGUAGGGGGCGAGCGUUAUCCGGAUUUAUUGGGCGUAAAGCGUGCGUAGGCGGUUUGUUAAGUCCAGAAUUAAAGCCCGAGGCUUAACCUCGGUUCGUUCUGGAUACUGGCAGGCUUGAGUAUGGUAGAGGCAAAUGGAAUUCCUAGUGUAGCGGUGAAAUGCGUAGAUAUUAGGAGGAACACCAGUGGCGAAGGCGAUUUGCUGGGCCAUCACUGACGCUGAGGUACGAAAGCGUGGGGAGCAAAUAGGA